rnacentral:ncRNA from 1 species
CAAAAGUUUUGUCCCAGCUUUUAAACCAACUAUUACCAACAUUAUACAUGCAAGCAUCCGCACACCUGUGAAAAAGCCCACAUAAAUUAGGAGCUGACAUUAGGCACAACAAAAGUUAGCCAACAACAUCUAGCUCAGUCACACCCCCAUGGGUACACAGCAGUAAUUAACAUUAAAAAAUGAGCACACAAACUCGAACUAGGUAUGGUAAACUGGGCUGGCUAAUCCCGUGCCAGCCGCCGCGGUUAUACGAGAAGCCCAAGUUGGUCUACCACGGCGUAAAGUGUGAUAAAGAAUUCAUCCACAACAUAAGACUAAAACUUAACUAAGCCGUUAUACGCACCAGUUAACACUAAACACAAUAAACGAAAGCAGUCUUAGUCUAAAGACUUUUCAUCAUCACAAAAACUAAGUCACAAACUGGGAUUAGAUACCCCACUAUGCUUAGUCAUAAAUUGAACAAUUACAAUCUAAUCCGCCAGAAUACUACGAGCAAACGCUUAAAACUCAAAGGACUUGGCGGUGCCCAAAACCCACCCAGAGGAGCCUGUUCUAUAAUCGAUAACCCCCGCUUAACCUCACCACCCUUUGCAUCUGCAGUCUAUAUACCUCCGUCUACAACUCACCCUAUUGAAGGAUAACCAGUGGGUAAAAUUAAUUAAUUAAAAACGUCAGGUCAAGGUGUAACAAAUAGGGUGGAAAGAAAUGGGCUACAUUCUCUUAUUAAGUGAAUACGGAAGCACUAAUGAAAAACCUGCUAGAAGGCGGAUUUGGUAGUAAAAAGAAACAAGCGAGUUCUUUUUAAAAUGGCCCUUGGGCGCGCACACACCGCCCGUCACCCUCUUCAACAUGAAAUUUAAAAUAAAUAAAACAAAAAUAACCUAAAGAAGAGGAAAGUCGUAACAAGGUAAGCGUACUGGAAAGUGCUCUUGGAAU